rnacentral:rRNA from 1 species
AUGAACGCUGGCGGCGUGCCUAAUCCAUGCAAGUCGAGCGAACAGACGAGGAGCUUGCUCCUCCGACGUUAGCGGCGGACGGGUGAGUAACACGUGGAUAACCUACCUAUAAGACUGGGAUAACUUCGGGAAACCGGAGCUAAUACCGGAUAAUAUAUUGAACCGCAUGGUUCAAUAGUGAAAGACGGUUUUGCUGUCACUUAUAGAUGGAUCCGCGCCGCAUUAGCUAGUUGGUAAGGUAACGGCUUACCAAGGCAACGAUGCGUAGCCGACCUGAGAGGGUGAUCGGCCACACUGGAACUGAGACACGGUCCAGACUCCUACGGGAGGCAGCAGUAGGGAAUCUUCCGCAAUGGGCGAAAGCCUGACGGAGCAACGCCGCGUGAGUGAUGAAGGUCUUCGGAUCGUAAAACUCUGUUAUUAGGGAAGAACAAAUGUGUAAGUAACUAUGCACGUCUUGACGGUACCUAAUCAGAAAGCCACGGCUAACUACGUG